AAUGGGCGAAAGCCUGACACAGCGACGCCGCGUGGGGGAUGAAGGCUUUCGGKUGUAAACCCUUUUAUCAGCGAAGAAUAAUGACGUACCUGAGAAUAAGCCUCGGCUAAUACGUGCCAGCAGCCGCGUAAUACGUAGGAGGCGAGCGUUAUCCGGAUUUAUUGGGCGUAAAGCGGGCGUAGGCGGCUUUUCAAGUCGGAUGUGAAAUCUCCCGGCUCAACCGGGAGGDCCAUUCGAUACUNUUGGGCUAGAGGGCAGUCAGAGGGAAGUGAAUUCCCGGUGUAGGUGGUGAUAUGCGUAGAUAUCGGGAGGAACACCAGUGGCGAAGGCGGCUUCCUGGGCUGUUUCUGACGCUGAGGCCCUAAAGCGUGGGGAGCGAACAGGAUUAGAUACCCUGGUAGUCCACGCUGUAAACGAUGGACACUAGGUAUGGGGAGUAUYGACCCUUUCUGUGCCGAASUAACGCUUUAAGUGUCCCGC
rnacentral:rRNA from 1 species